rnacentral:rRNA from 1 species
UACGGGGGGGGGGUAAGCUUGUUCGGAAUUACUGGGCGUAAAGGGCUCGUAGGCGGCCAACUAAGUCAUACGUGAAAAUCCCUCAGCUUAACUGGGGGAACUGCGUGUGAUACUGGAUGGCUUGGAUUUGGAAGAGGGAUGCGGAAUUCCAGGUGUAGCGGUGAAAAUGCGUAGAUAUCUGGAGGAACACCCGGUGGCGAAGGCGGCAUCCUGGACCAAUAUUGACGCUGAGGAGCGAAAGCCAGGG